AUUGAACGCUGGCGGCAUGCUUUACACAUGCAAGUCGAGCGGCAGCGCGGGGGCAACCCUGGCGGCGAGCGGCGAACGGGUGAGUAAUGCAUCGGAACGUGUCCCGUAGUGGUGGAUAACGCCGGGAAACCGGCGCUAAUACCGCAUAUGCUCUACGGAGGAAAGGGGGGGACCCGCAAGGGCCUCCCGCUAUGGGAGCGGCCGAUGGCCGAUUAGCUUGUUGGUGAGGUAAAGGCUUACCAAGGCGACGAUCGGUAGCUGGUCUGAGAGGAUGAUCAGCCACACUGGGACUGAGACACGGCCCAGACUCCUACGGGAGGCAGCAGUGGGGAAUUUUGGACAAUGGGGGCAACCCUGAUCCAGCCAUGCCGCGUGCGGGAAGAAGGCCUUCGGGUUGUAAACCGCUUUUGUCCGGAAAGAAAAGGCAUUCCCUAAUACGGGGUGUUCUUGACGGUACCGGAAGAAUAAGCACCGGCUAACUACGUGCCAGCCGCCGCCGUAA
rnacentral:rRNA from 1 species